CCUAGUMAAAAAGCUAGAAUUACAACAUAMGACCAGAAGACCCUGUGAAGCUUAAAUAAAACUAUUAAACCACAUAAUAACUACUUUCGGUUGGGGCGACCUUGGAAAAAAAGAGAACUUCCAAAUAAAAUGACUAUACCUCAUUAUCCAAAUUAGGCCAACAAGCCAAAAAUGACCCAGCACAGCUGAUAAUUGAACCAAGUUACUCCAGGGAUAACAGCGCAAUCUUCUUCAAGAGCCCAUAUCAAAAAGAAGGUUUACGACCUCGAUGUUGGAUCAGGACAUCCUAAUGGUGCAGCCGCUAUUAAGGGUUCGUUUGUUCAACGAUUAAUA
rnacentral:rRNA from 1 species